GAGGGUGGGGCCCCCCCCAGAGGUUUGGGAGGCUCUGGGCUCCCUGGGAUGCAGCGCUCUCUUCCUGUGGGAGCCACCGGCCCGACGAGGGCCUCGGUCUCUUGAAAAGCAAAGAGCUUAACUGACGCCAAGUUAAACUUCUCCAACCCGACUUGGAACAGGUCGGCUUCCUCUCCUGGAGUUACCUAUGACUCCUCACAUUCUGUGUUUAAUUAUUUACCAAGACCUGAUGAAAAUCCCGUGAUUUUUCUGCUCAGUCCUCUGCCACGGUUUGAGUAUUUCCCACAGAAACCUGCUCCUUCAGCCAUGGUCAAAGUUGUGAAAAGUGGAUCUUCGAUGGCCAUCUCUAACUUCACACUCAAGCAUGUCACGUAAGAAGAGUAUGGAAUACUUGGAAGCAUCAUUCAUUGAAACCAUGUUGCACUGUGGCUGCCUCCUCUUCUUCAUCCUCGCGUGUGUGUGUGUGUGUGUGUGUGUGUGUGUGUGU